AUUUUACCCUGUUAUUUGCGAAUUUUAAUACAUUGUCCUUCGUAAUUACGUAUUUUGUUGCGAUCGCGCCAAUAAGACUCUCUUCAACCUUUUAAAAAGUCUGUGAAAGGUUACAAGUGCCAGUAUUGGUCGUAGUGGUGGACACCUCCUUGGUCCUGUGUUGUGUUUACAAUAUAACACAGCAGCAGCUCUGUAGAUCAUUUACUUCUUAUUGUAUUCACAAUAAUACAAUAAUAUUUCUGUGAGGGAGUCUACCAAGUACUUUUUUAUGCAAAAUAGGGGUAUUUUUAAAUGAAAUCAUGAUAACUAAAGUGAUAUGACCUGUUUCCUGUAAGAGCAACUAGCUGGUCUAAGCUUAUUAGAUUGGACUGGGGUCUUGUUACAGCAGAUGUGCUUUUGUGAGUCCAUAGUUCCCCUGAGGACCACCACCCUUCCCUGAUAGCAGCCUGCCUUCCCCCACUUCAGCAUUCCCAUUCAUCUCUAAAUAAGGUACUAUCCAAAUGAUCUUCAGCUUUGCCCCAUGACAUAAGAUAUCCAGAGCAAUAAAAUUAUGGUGCAGGCUGUCACCAUGAUAAUGUCAUUGUUCUUCAGAGUUCAUAAUAGCUUAUCUAAUUUCUGAUACCAAAGCUCUCCUAACACACUAUGCAACAUGAUGAUAAGAAAUAUAUUUAUGAAGUUCUUCUCAAAGGACCGUUUUCUGGGCGUGUUGUUUUUGUGAAAUCUGUUGCAUUUAGUAAGUUUGUUGUCUGGCGUGAAACUCAGUUCCCUCAGUUCAACAAUUCAUUAUCCAAAUCACCAAACUAACCUGUUUUUUCCCAUUGCUUUUAAAGGGAUAGUUCACCCAAAAAUGAAAAUUCUGUCAUCAUUUACUCACCCUCAUGUUGUUCCAAACCUGUAUGAGUUUCUUUUGUUUAUCUGUUCCUACUAUGGAGGUCAGUGGCUACCGUCAACUGUCAGGUUACCAACAUUCAAAAUAUCUUCUUUUGUGUUCAACAGAAGAAAGAAACAUUACAGAUUUAUAACAAUUUAAGUGUGAGUAAAUUAUGAAAAUAUUAACAUUUUUGGGUGAACAAUCCUUUGAACAGAAACACUUUCAUCUUGAAACAAGCAUUUAAGCAGAGCAGAAGGCCACCAUUAGCCCCCCACAAAUAGCAGAAGGACCACCGAUUGAUUUUAGAUUCACUUUUGCUUUGUUGCUUUAUGGUGUGUAAAGCCAAAUAAUCAAGCUAGAAAAGGAAGUCACUUUUAUACUGCCAGCUGGCCUCUUAGUAUAGAGAUUGGAUUAGCCCCCUUCUUUAUGGCCCAAAUGGAUUCAUAUGCACUCGUCCAUCUCCUUAUAUGCAUUAUAUGCUCUGACUCAAGUAUUAUGCGGUAAUGCUUGAUUUGACUGAGAUACAUUUACAGUGGUUUUACAUUCAACCAAAUUAUACAACCAAACAAUAGCAGAUUUUUUUGUAUCUUUGUUUAUGCUUUCAAACCUCUUGCAACAGGAUUUGAUACUGACCAAAAAAAACACUAUUUCCUCAUUUUUGUGUUCCUCAGCAUAACAGUUGUGACUGUGUCCUUUCUUACCAUACCAAAGCUUCACUUCCUCUUUGCUGCAAUAACUGGUGGAGUUUCCAUUUAUGGCUUUCUGCAUGUACACGUCUGUCAAUAUAUAGAUUUGUGUACCCACCUAUAGGUGUGGCACCUUUCAUCAUUUAAAGCCCUAAUAGUUCAUGCAAAAAUGAAAACUUUGUCAUUAUUCACUGACCCUCAUGUUGUGCCAGUCCUGCAUGACUUUAUUUCUUGGAACACUAAAGAACAAUGUUUCAACUGUUUGGUCCAUACAUUGAAAGUCAGUGGGGUCCAAAAGAGUCAUUCUAUGGUCAAAAACAGUUCUUUAAAAACAUUUGGACAAAAACAUUCUUCAAAAUAUUAUCCUUUGUGUUCCACAGGAGAAAGAAAAAGUCAUACAUGAUAAUUUUAAUUUUUGUGUGAACUAUCCCAUUAAUGCUGCAUAUGUUUUGGCACCUUCUUGUAUAAGUUCUGCCUCACUCCAGUGCUGGCUGAUCAAUGGAGAUCAGUGGCUUAUUAGCACCCCACUGUGACUAUACUGCAGGGGCUCAUUCCCUGUGACUGAGAUAUAAAUAACUUAUAUUGAUAGAAUUUCAGAGAAUUUCAGCUUCAGAGAUUGCAUAUAAAACAUAUUUACCCUUUUAAGUCCAGGCAUUCUCAAUCCGUGCUUAUGAUUAUUUGACAUAUCGGAAUGUAGGAUUAAUUCAUGGCUACUUUGGUUCUACUACUGUGUGGCCUGCAGUUUUCUUCUCCCAAUGCCCUGGGAUUUACCCAGAGCUAGAGGGGGAUGUGAGAUAGGCCUACAGUAUGGGUCAGUUUAUAGCAAUAUCUGCUUUUAUAGGACCCUAGGCCUGCUAAUCUACCCUCCACCAUCUGUCUGCCCGCGAGAGGAGGGCUGAGCAGGGAUUGGCCCUGGAAUGAGUCAGACAUGCACGUCCACACUCCAGACUCAGUCAGCCUUUAAACCAGCAUGGGAGAGAUUACUGUGCCAAGCAGCAUAGCUUAAGCCUGCCACAGGAAGUUGAAUAAUGCCAGCAGGAAAGAGAUCCUGCACGCUAAUAGAAUUUUAUAUAUCUGAGAGCAGUUUCAACAUUCAUGACCUUUGGUCAAACAUACGCUUAAUGCAAAAUGGAAAUUAUUCUUUCAGAACAUUUGCUUUCAUCAGUUGCAGAUGAUCAUUUCAGACCCUGAUUAGCAAGUAGUAGAGACCCUGUGUCUCUACUACUACUGCUCGUAGUGCUCAUUUUCAAAACCACUUAACCCUAAGUAUUGAACUUCAGCUGAUAAUUGGUCAUGCACAGUUUAUUCUAUGGAAAUUGCAUGAUGAUAUUAUGCAGAUUUCAUAGAGACAUUGUGUUGGGCUCUGUUGAAUUGGGUAAGUUAAGAACCUCUUAGCAACUACUUAGAACAGCAUAACUGUUCUAGGGGUGUAACCCCGGUGUCCUGGCCAAAUUCCUUCCUUGGCCCUUACCAAUCAUGGCCUCCUAAUAAUCCCCAUCCAUUGAAUUGGGCUCUAUCUCUCUCUCUUUUCUCCACAUAUAGCUGGUGUGCGGUGAGCGCCGUUAUACUGUGGCUGCCGUCGCAUCAUCCAAGUGGAUGUUGCACACUGGUGGUGAAUGAGGAGAGACCUUUGAUAUGAUUGUAAAGCGCUUUGGGUGUACAGAAGUACAUAUAAAAGCGCUAUAUAAAUGCCUCAUUCAUUCAUAACUGUGCACUAGCAAAAAAGCAAAAUAGCAUAAUUUCUGCAAGUUCAGCACACCUUUUUUUUUUUUUUCAGAAAAUGUUUUUAAAACUUUCAAGGCUAGCGUCUGCUAAUCACACCAGUCAUGUUUGCUCCACUGGAACCUUUAUCUUAAUAUUAUAAUGAAAACUUGCUGUCAUUUUGUCAGUACCCUAUUCAUCAGACCUUUCAUAUUAAUGUCUCUUGUGCAUGAAAGGUAUUCCAUUCCUGAGUGAUGCCUGUGAGAAACUGAUGAGGCGUGGCACUCACAGCAUCUCUGGCUAGACUGAGUUGUCUCAAGUCCAACAUUAAUAUUGGCAGACACCUAUAUUGGGUGCACAAAACUUACACCAACUCCCCACCCAGAUUUAAUACCACUGCCAGUUUAACCAACAGCUGAGCAUUGACCUAAUAAUGAACUACAAAACAAUGGUCAUUUUUCUUAACACAGAUUCUUCUUAACUUUGACUUUUAAAAGAUCCAGAUUUGACCCAGUCAAGAAAAUAUGUUCAAUAAAAGUUAGCUCCCUCCUUAAAAGAUUCAAAUUCCACAGCCUGAAAACUAAAGGCCAUUGUUAGUUGCCAAAUAAGGGAAUGACCUACUCAUGUCUUACAGGAAGUGAUUUUUUAAAGGGAUGUCAUUUCUUUUGCAAGUUUGCACAGGAAAUCACAUUCAAAAAUUCUGGUGUGGAGAGAGCUUUACUCUGGAAUGUACAGCUGAGUAGUAUGUGCUUACUGUUUCUUAUCAUGCCGUGCAAUGUACGCUUCACUCUCACUGGUGUGUAAAAAAACAACAUUACAGCACACAAACAGGUUUCUUUAAUUACUUUGUAAACAGCUGCCCACCUCAUGGGUGCUUUAUGACUUUUAGCAGAAUCUGGUCUGAGUUUAUAAAGGCCAUUUUAUUGUCUAAUUGUAUUGUCUGAUUAUUUUAUUAAUAUAAUUUCUUCCACCAGAAGGCAUUUUAUGUCAUUAACGUAAUACUGGGAAAAAAAAAAAAAAAAAAUCACUUCAUUUUGUGAUUUAACUGAACAUAUUAACACAACCUUACUGGGGAUUUUCUUAUGGCUGUUCUGUUGGUAACCUUUUGCUACAAUCCUUACAAGUCUUUUGCCCUUUCCUCAGUGACUCCAGAGGCACUGAUUGUGAAUGAGUAGCAAUAGACAAGUCCUUUCUUGUAGAACAAUUUGGGAGCUUUUUCAUCACAGGUGUGGCGCAGAGCUCUGAAUAAUGCCCAACGGAAAGAGUACACAUAAUGUACAUUCAACUAGUGUAAUAUAAGGUAAUUUACUUCUUAAAGAGUGUGUAAAACAUGUUUGUGUGAAAGUAAAAUAUUUUUAUUCACAUUCAGGCCUGUGAAACUAUGUAUGUUAUUUGAGUAUGACAUCAACACAUGACACCACCAGAUAUGUUAAGAAUUUAGAUGCCAAGUGAUAAGAUACAAUAUAUUAAGAAAUUCUUCUUAGCAUGUGCUGCAUAUUUUCCUCUAACUUUGUCCGUAAAAAGAUUCUUUAUAUUUCUUUCCUCAAGGGCUUUUGCUGUAGAACUUCUGUGCACUUUGGCUGUGCUAGCCUCGCCCUCUGGUCGAUGUAACAGCAACCGCCAUAAAAGGAAAUCUUUAAGUGUGUCACAUGGUAACAAUGUCAAGAAUUCAAGGCCCUUGUCACAUGGGACUUUCUCAUGGAAAUCAGAUUGAAACUUCUAGGCCUAAUGAAUGAAGCAGCGCUUGGUCAAAGAUACUGGGGAUUUUAUUUUUUUUUUUUUACUAAAACUGUACAAUAAAAAUCUCUUUCCUUCACACAUGCUUGCAUAUUUAAAUAUUUUACGUAAAUCAAACCUUAACAAUAUACAGAAAAGUUCCUGAUAUUUGUUUAAAGUAUUUCCUUUAGCUUACAGUUGGAUUUAUUUUUUGUUUUUCUUGAGUCAAAGCCUCAUUCAUUACUUUAGUGGAAAAAAAAAAGAAAUGAAGGUUUGCCUACAAUCUGUCUCACUAUGAGUAAGAAGGAAGUGGUUUAAAAUAAUGACAGCGAGGUCAUAUCCAUAUAUAGUCAGCCUUUGGCAGAGCAAUGAUGACUGAUGAUGUCUCAACUUCAGAUAGCUGAUUUCAUCUCUCUGUGUUUUGCUGUGUCCUAUCAACAGCACUCGUUCACAUUGCACUUUCACACACUUACACUUGACACAAUACAUUAAGCCUAGGUAUACUAUCAACAGUCUCUCGUUCCCUUUCAGAAUCUCUUUCACUCGUAAUCUGCCUCUCCCAAAUAUGCAAGAAUUUUCAUACUUGCUCGUCACUCUCAUGCUCGUCCCCUCCUUACACUGUUUAGACAGCAAACAAUUACUAGUACGAGAGCUGGUGGGCGGAGCUUAGCUUAGCUACAACUUCUCAGGCUCCAUAUAUGGAAAGGACUAGCAGGUAGUGAUUGCCAAACUUAGUCAUCAAAGCAUGCGUCUCAUUCAUUGCACACUCGGCUUGUGUUUUGCUGGGACUCCGAAGGUGUGCGACUCUUGCCUUCAACUGAGGUCUCUUAAAGGAGUUUGGGGUCGCUUGUCACUUCCUUCAGCUGGAUUUGCGAGAGGAAAUGGCAUUGUGUUGCAAUACAAGUCAUUCAUCUUCAGAACUGACUUGUGGAAACAGCUUUUGGGUUACGGGGAGGUAAACCCCUCUCUGCUGUUGAUUAUUGACUGAACCGGUGUCAUGUUUAAGAUUGAGAGACACAAAAGAUUUCCCCUCUCCCUUUGGCCAAGAACACAAAAGCAAGUGACCACAUUUGCCAAUAAAGGUCCAGUUUGAGUUAUGUUUAGGUCUCAGCAUGUUAGGGUUAUGGUGUUGUGGCAGUUGACAGCUGUCCUUUAGAGGGGAAAAUGAUAUGCCCAUAUUUACUCAAAAGAUUUGUUAGGAUGGAUAUGGUUGAUAUCCAUGGUAAUCAUCAACUUGAUGUUGUAGGAUAAAACUGUGGUUUUUACUUGCCCAUGUCAAAGUCUACUGUAAUGGAGGCACAGUAAAGACAUUCCCUGAACACUCACUAGAAUUACCUGCAGCUCUUAUGUAAGUAAAUCUUAUUGGCUCAUGGAAAGCUGACCCUGAUGACCCUGUAAAUAAGAUUUAAGCACUUGUAUCAGUCAACAACCACUCAAAUGUGCAUUAACCAUUUAAUGUAUGUGAGCAAAAUGUACAGAAUUUAGAAACAUUGAGAAAUGUAUGUAUUUAUUUAUUUAACAAAAUAAAAAAUUAAUAAAAUAAAAAAAAUGCUGUUUUUUGUCUCACAAUUCUGAGUUCAUAACUGGAAAUUCUGACUUUUUUUUCUCAGAUUUGUAAGAUAUAAAGUCUUUUAUGAGUUAUAAAGUCAGAAAUGUGAGAUAUAAACUUAUAAUUGCAAGAAAAAAGUCAGAAUUGU